rnacentral:rRNA from 1 species
AUUGAACGCUGGCGGCAGGCCUAACACAUGCAAGUCGAGCGAGCGGCGGACGGGUGAGUAAUGUCUGGGAAACUGCCUGAAGGAGGGGGAUAACUACUGGAAACGGUAGCUAAUACCGCAUACCAUCAGAUGGGCCGAAGUGGGAUGAGCUAGUAGGUGGGGUAAAGGCUAACGUAGGCGGAGAGCCCUAGCUGUCCUGCGAGGAUGACCAGCCACACUGGAACUGAGACACGGUCCAGACUCCUACGGGAGGCAGCAGUGGGGAAUAUUGCACAAUGGGCGCAAGCCGGAUGCAGCCAUGCCGCGUGUGUGAAGAAGGCCUUCGGGUUGUAAAGCACUUUCAGCGGGGAGGCGUUACUCGCAGAGGAAGCACCGGCUAACUACGUGCCAGCAGCCGCGGUAAUUC